UCUCUCUUCGUCUAAUGGCAAGACACCGCGCUCUGGCCGCGGCAAUCGAGGUUCGAGUCCUUGCGGGAGAACCA
rnacentral:tRNA from 1 species